rnacentral:rRNA from 1 species
GUGAGGAAUUUUCCGCAAUGGGCGAAAGCCUGACGGAGCAAUGCCGCGUGAAGGAUGAAGGCCUAUGGGUUGUAAACUUCUUUUCUCAGAAAAGAAUUAUGACGGUAUCUGAGGAAUAAGCAUCGGCUAACUCUGUGCCAGCAGCCGCGGUAAGACAGAGGAUGCAAGCGUUAUCCGGAAUGAUUGGGCGUAAAGCGUCUGUAGGUUGUUUAAAAAGUAUUCUGUCAAAGAUUAGGGCUUAACCCUAGAUAGGCAGAAUAAACUUUUAAGCUAGAGUUUGGUAGGGGCAGAGGGAAUUCCCGGUGGAGCGGUGAAAUGCGUAGAUAUCGGGAGGAACACCAAAGGCGAAGGCACUCUGCUGGGCCAAUACUAACACUGAGAGACGAAAGCGAGGGGAGCAAAUGGGAUUAGAUACCCCAGUAGUCC